CGGAAGGCUGAUGGUGGCAUUACCUGCGUGCAAAUCACCUCAAGGUAGAAUCGAAAGAAAUGGAGCAGUGAUGACUCAUCCAGCACUACAGAUUUUUGUCCAAUCAGAUGCUCUCUUGAAGGAGAACAUCCCGCCCCCUUAUGCUGCACACAACCGACUACUGGCCCAUCCCAAGAGUGUUGUGCAUUGUGCCGGACUGAAGAAAUCUCAUCACUGUAUUGAUACAUCACAAAAGCCAAGCACAAUCAUCAUCUGUGAAAGAUCCUCUGAGACCAAUUUAAACCCCAAAGACUUUGACCAUAACAUUUAAAUCAGCAAAACGGUCUAAUUCAGUGUUGGCUAUGAUAGUCCUGAAUACAAUUAUUGUACCUUCAACAUGGCAGAAUUCAUUAAAAUAGCCAUAUAACUGAUAUCAGUGUUAGUCCAAUAUUUCCAUAAUUUCCUCACUGUAAAAUAAUUGGACCUAGAUCUCGUUUUAAGGCCAUGGGAGAACUUUGAUGGCACUCAUUUGCAAUGAGGGUGUCUUUUUCAAACAAGACAUUAAUUAAGUUAGAGUAUCC
rnacentral:lncRNA from 1 species